CCUCAAAAAGCAUCUCUGUGCUGCAGAGCCAGAUUGCUGCUGUUCCCAUGAGCCUGCACUGACCCUGCACUUUGGUGCUGUUAUUUUUUUUCCUGUUGUUGCUUGUAAUGCUCUUAUCAGCUGGGGCCAGCUGAAGUCAAGAGGGCUGGGGAUGACAGAGGGUUUGCAGUUCUGCCUUCUGAGUCACCAGGAGUUUCAUGACAGUGGCCAUGAGGAGCAAGAGUUGCUUGCCAGCUCCUUCUCUUUGAAGGCUGGCCAUUAUGUUCCAGUGUCACAGCUUGAGGCAGUGUGUGGAUGUGACUUCCUGCCUGACUCUGGAUGAGCUGGGAUGUGCAGUACGUACAAGGUGCUUAUCUUCAGAUGCCUUAAAAUAAGAGCACUGAAAUUUGCCUGGGAUUUGCACUUUCUCUAGAUGGAAGAGGAAUGACUAAUGCCUGGCCAAAGCCUGAGUGCCUUCCUCCAACCACCAGCCCCAUCUGCUGCCCCAGCCUUGUGCUUUGAAGAUGCAGCAGCAGCUUGGAACGUCCCACCUGCAUGCCUGCAGACAUUCCAUGAGGAACAGAGCCUGGUGGGUCUUUACCUCCCCUUCUCUGAAGGUGUCUGAGCAAUCCAACCUGUACCUUCUGCAUCGUGGAACAGGCUGCCUAGGGAGGUGGUGGAGUCAUUGUGCCUGAAGGUAAUAUGUAUCUUGUUCUUGUUCUUACUGUGCUGGCUGGAUUAACCAAACCCCUCCGGGAAGUUCUGCCUUCAUUCCCUGCAGUAAAAACUCGACUGAGCAAUACUGGACACGUCCAUCAGAGCUCACCAGCAGAAAAUGUGGAGCAAGUUCUGGGAGGAGAGGAAGGAGCUUCUUCUGUCAUGGUGCUCGGGGAUGGCCUGUCCUCCUGCCCUCCCUGGACAGCUGUAAACCAGGGAUUCCUGCUGCCAGAAUGGGCUGGAGAUGGCCUCUCCUUAGUGGAGAGACUGGACAAGGAAACAGGUGGGAAGGACGUCGACACCUGAAAUUCAGCAAGACUGUAAGGGCUCUUCCUCCUCCAGCCGAAGCCCGGCAAUUCAGAAGUCCGUGGUCGGAAGGACUCCUCAGCUAUUCUCUUUGAUCCGGCAGCCAGGAGAGGGAGCUCGGCAUCCUACUCCCAGGCUCCACUCGCCCAACAUCACUGAAGACAAUGUUGAUGAUUCUUUUGUUCAACAAAUAAAAGAAGUGGUUCCCACGAGGGAGCCGUGUUGGCAGCUGCUUUAUGCGGGCUUAGGGGAAUUGCGGAUAAUCGAUGCUUGCCAAAGGCAAAAUGGACAGCACCAGUGGAAGAAAACAAAACUAACUCUCAGGCUGCUAAGAGAUUAUUGCAUGCAGAGGGACCCGUUUUGGAAGUCUGGAGUGUCUUCGGUCCGCACAGCCACCAAUGGGAGCAUCAAGCACUCAGGACCAGUGGAAGGGCAUGAGGCUCAACUUGGCAUCUUGGACUUCCAUCACCAAAAGCCUGAGGAAAGUCCUCUUGGUAAAACCCUGGGUUCUCUCCAGGAGCAGUGGGCACUCACAGUCCUACUUGAGCUCAGCGAGGGCAACUGGAUAUUCAGUGAUUUUUUUUUUAUAUUUCAGUGUUGAAGCAUGAGGACAGUCACCUAGCUUUUGGUGUCAGGAAGUUGAACGUUCAAAGCAUCAGAAUGGAAACAGAUUCCCAAAUGUACUGAAUGUUGGUGGAAAGAAAGCACUUUAUAAACGGAUAAUUAUUCAGUGCCAGUCUGCCAGGACUUCAGUAGGAUUUCGAGUGAGACAUUUCUAUAGAUAAAAAUAAUGUUCAAGAAGAGUCCCAUACUCUUAGCACAAACCUUUCUGAGUUUAGUGAUGCCAUUUUAAUUGGUUCUGGCUAUUAAUAGUGCUGUGAUUCCUGGGUUUGUUGGAAAUGUGAUCCCCACAUCCAGAGAUGCUGGCUCACCAGCAGUCAUUGGUCCUGGGGGUAUCCUUUCCUGAUGUAGUCUUGGUUCUGUUUCUCCUGUAAAUGUCUGUAUUUGUAUACACUGAUCCCUGGUGAUGGAUUUCUUCAUGGACUGUGUUCCAUCAGCCAUUCCCAGAGCUGCUGUAACAGCACAAAUACACAUUCCAGACACAUUUUCAUCCAAAUCUAGUGUGGGUGAGGACAGAGCCUGGGACAGCCAGCCUAAUCCUGACAGAUAAUUUUUCCCUGGGGCUAGGGUGAAGAAAAGUUAUUCUGAGAGUGCCAGAUGGGCUAUGGAAACAUCCUAACAAUACCUGUAAUUAACAUAUCCAGUGCUCCUUCACCUAAGAGCUUUCAGGAUGACUCACACACUCACCCUACAGAUCCCUGCAGGGUCAGGUGCUGCCUAAGCUGAAUGAGAAAAAGGAUGCAGGCACCCUCAUUGGAGACAGCUCAGAGCAGAGCUGCAGUGACUAGGGAUGUUAGCUCUGUUUUUAGCUGAGCCAAUCUCCUUUCUCUCCAUGAAAGCUCAGUGCAGGGAGAGAACGUUAUCCAUUAACCUUCCAGUAUGCAGAACCUAGUGUUGUCACCCGGCUCCUGGUGAGUGGUGUCAGACAUGGCUGGCGUUCCUCCAUCGAUAUCUUCAAUUACAGUGGCACUUCAGCCAUUCCUAAGAGCAUUUGCCAUUUACACAGUGGAUUUCUCUACCUGUGUGGAUCUCACUGGCACGAAAAAUGAGCAUGUUUUCUGAGCAUACCCUCAUCUUGGAGAAGAAGCAAUGCCAGAAAGACCAAGAAGCCAGAAUUCUGCAUCUUGCAGGCAAUUCAGAUGAUUUGCACAGUCCUCAUCAUUAAGUUCAUACAGCAAAGCCAUCAGACUGUGUGUUCCUUCCUUCAGGCGGUUCUUCUGCUGAUGAGCUGUUCUCAUCCUUACAGAUUGCUCAGUGCUGUGAGAUACCAGGUUGGAUAUCAGGAAAAGGUUCUGCACCAGAGUAUGGUGGACAUGGAACAGGCUCCCCAGGGCAAUGGUUACUGAACCAACCUGCUGGAGUUCAAG
ensembl:lncRNA